rnacentral:rRNA from 1 species
AGGGUCCGUAGGCGGUGUAAUAAGUCAGUGGUGAAAGCCCAUCGCUCAACGAUGGAACGGCCAUUGAUACUGUUAGACUUGAAUUAUUAGGAAGUAACUAGAAUAUGUAGUGUAGCGGUGAAAUGCUUAGAUAUUACAUGGAAUACCAAUUGCGAAGGCAGGUUACUACUAAUGGAUUGACGCUGAUGGACGAAAGCGUGGGGAGCGAACAGGAUUAGAUACCCUGGUAGUACACGCCGUAAACGAUGGAUACUAGCUGUUGGGCGCAAGUUCAGUGGCUAAGCGAAAGUGAUAAGUAUCCCACCUGGGGAGUACGUUCGCAAGAAUGAAACUCAAAGGAAUUGACGGGGGCCCGCACAAGCGGUGGAGCAUGUGGUUUAAUUUGAUGAUACGCGAGGAACCUUACCAAGGCUUAAAUGUAGUUUGACCGGUUUGGAAACAGAUCUUUCGCAAGACAAAUUACAAGGUGCUGCAUGGUUGUCGUCAGCUCGUGCCGUGAGGUGUCAGGCUAAGUCCUAUAACGAGCGCAACCCCUGUUGUUAGUUGCCACCGAGUCAUGUCGGGAACUCUAACAAGACUGCCAGUGUAAACUGUGAGGAAGGUGGGGAUGACGUCAAAUCAUCACGGCCCUUACGCCUUGGGCUACACACGUGCUACAAUGGACGGUACAGAGAGCAGCCACCUCGCAAGGGGGAGGGAAUCUAUAAAACCGUUCUCAGUUCGGAUCGGAGUAUGCAACUCGACUCCGUGAAGCUGGAAUCGGUAGUAAUCGGAUAUCAGCCAUGAUCCGGUGAAUACGUUCCCGGGCCUUGUACACACCGCCCGUCAAGCCAUGGAAGCUGGGGGUACCUGAAGUCGGUGACCGCAAGGAGCUGCCUAGGGUAAAACUGGUAACUAGGGCUAAGUCGUACACAAGGUAACC